UGCAAGUCGAGCGGAUGAAGGGAGCUUGCUCCUGGAUUCAGCGGCGGACGGGUGAGUAAUGCCUAGGAAUCUGCCUGGUAGUGGGGGAUAACGUCCGGAAACGGGCGCUAAUACCGCAUACGUCCUGAGGGAGAAAGUGGGGGAUCUUCGGACCUCACGCUAUCAGAUGAGCCUAGGUCGGAUUAGCUAGUUGGUGGGGUAAAGGCCUACCAAGGCGACGAUCCGUAACUGGUCUGAGAGGAUGAUCAGUCACACUGGAACUGAGACACGGUCCAGACUCCUACGGGAGGCAGCAGUGGGGAAUAUUGGACAAUGGGCGAAAGCCUGAUCCAGCCAUGCCGCGUGUGUGAAGAAGGUCUUCGGAUUGUAAAGCACUUUAAGUUGGGAGGAAGGGCAGUAAGUUAAUACCUUGCUGUUUUGACGUUACCAACAGAAUAAGCACCGGCUAACUUCGUGCCAGCAGCCGCGGUAAUACGAAGGGUGCAAGCGUUAAUCGGAAUUACUGGGCGUAAAGCGCGCGUAGGUGGUUCAGCAAGUUGGAUGUGAAAUCCCCGGGCUCAACCUGGGAACUGCAUCCAAAACUACUGAGCUAGAGUACGGUAGAGGGUGGUGGAAUUUCCUGUGUAGCGGUGAAAUGCGUAGAUAUAGGAAGGAACACCAGUGGCGAAGGCGACCACCUGGACUGAUACUGACACUGAGGUGCGAAAGCGUGGGGAGCAAACAGGAUUAGAUACCCUGGUAGUCCACGCCGUAAACGAUGUCGACUAGCCGUUGGGAUCCUUGAGAUCUUAGUGGCGCAGCUAACGCGAUAAGUCGACCGCCUGGGGAGUACGGCCGCAAGGUUAAACUCAAAUGAAUUGACGGGGGCCCGCACAAGCGGUGGAGCAUGUGGGUUAAUUCGAAGCAACGCGAAGAACCUUACCUGGCCUUGACUGCUGAGAACUUUCCGAAAUGGAUUGGGGCUUCGGGACUCAGACCAGGGGCUGCUGGCUGUCGUCACUCGGG
rnacentral:rRNA from 1 species